GUGACCUGCCCUCAGCUCUGGGAUAAGCCUGGGAAACUGGGUCUAAUACCGGAUAUGACCUUCUGUCGCAUGGCAGUGGGUGGAAAGUUUUUCGGCUGGGGAUGGGCCCGCGGCCUAUCAGCUUGUUGGUGGGGUGAUGGCCUACCAAGGCGACGACGGGUAGCCGGCCUGAGAGGGCGACCGGCCACACUGGGACUGAGACACGGCCCAGACUCCUACGGGAGGCAGCAGUGGGGAAUAUUGCGCAAUGGGCGAAAGCCUGACGCAGCGACGCCGCGUGGGGGAUGACGGCCUUCGGGUUGUAAACCUCUUUCGCCAUCGACGAAGCCUUCGGGUGACGGUAGGUGGAGAAGAAGCACCGGCCAACUACGUGCCAGCAGCCGCGGUAAUACGUAGGGUGCGAGCGUUGUCCGGAAUUAUUGGGCGUAAAGAGCUCGUAGGCGGUGUGUCGCGUCGGUCGUGAAAACUUGGGGCUUAACUCUGAGCUUGCGGUCGAUACGGGCAUCACUUGAGUUCGGCAGGGGAGACUGGAAUUCCUGGUGUAGCGGUGAAAUGCGCAGAUAUCAGGAGGAACACCGGUGGCGAAGGCGGGUCUCUGGGCCGAUACUGAC
rnacentral:rRNA from 1 species